GCCUACCAUGGUGGUAACGGGUAACGGGGUGUUAGGGCACGACACCGGAGAGGGAGCCUGAGAAACGGCUACCACAUCCAAGGAUGGCAGCAGGCGCGCAAAUUACCCAAUCCCGACACGGGGAGGUAGUGUCAAUAAAUAACAAUACGGGGUUCUUUCGGAUUUCGUAAUUGGAAUGAGUACAAUUUAAAUCUCUUAACGAGGAACAAUUGAAGGGCAAGUCUGGUGCCAGCAGCCGCGGUAAUUCCAGCUCCAAUAGCGUAUAUUAAAGUUGCUGCAGUUAAAAAGCUCGUAGUUGAAUUUCGGGACCAAUAUGUCGGUCGUGCCUCGGUACGUGCUGGCAUCGUUGGUUUCUCCCUUCUGACGAACCAUGAUGUCAUUUAUUUGGUGUCGUGGGGAAUCAGGACUGUUACUUUGAAAAAAUUAGAGUGUUUAAAGCAGGCUCACGCUUGAAUACAUUAGCAUGGAAUAAUGAAAUAGGACGUUUGAUUCUAUUUUGUUGGUUUCUAGGAUCGACGUAAUGAUUAAUAGGGAUAGUUGGGGGCAUUAGUAUUCAAUUGUCAGAGGUGAAAUUCUUGGAUUUAUUGAAGACUAACUACUGCGAAAGCAUUUGCCAAGGAUGUUUUCAUUAAUCAAGAACGAAAGUUAGGGGAUCGAAGACGAUCAGAUACCGUCGUAGUCUUAACCAUAAACUAUGCCGACUAGGGAUCGGAUGAUGUUAAUUUUUUAAUGACUCAUUCGGCGCCUUACG
rnacentral:rRNA from 1 species